rnacentral:rRNA from 1 species
GUGAGGAAUAUUGGGCAAUGGGCGAAAGCCUGACCCAGCCAAGCCGCGUGAGUGAUGAAGGCCUUCGGGUUGUAAAGCUCUGUGGGGAGGGAAGAAAAAGCGAGAGAGUAACUGCUCUCGUGUUGACGGUACCUCCUUAGCAAGCACCGGCUAACUCUGUGCCAGCAGCCGCGGUAAUACAGAGGGUGCAAACGUUGCUCGGAAUUACUGGGCGUCAAGCGCGUGUAGGCUGACAUGCAAGUCGGGUGUGAAAUCCCAGGGCUCAACCUUGGAACUGCAAUCGAAACUGCACAUCUUGAGUACAGGAGAGGGAAGCGGAAUUCCGGGUGUAGAGGUGAAAUUCGUAGAUAUCCGGAGGAACACCAGUGGCGAAGGCGGCUUCCUGGACAGUAACUGACGCUGAGACGCGAAAGCGUGGGGAGCAAACAGGAUUAGAUACCCUUGUAGUCC